rnacentral:rRNA from 1 species
GACGAACGCUGGCGGCGUGCUUAACACAUGCAAGUCGAACGGAAAGGCCCUGCUUUUGUGGGGCGCUCGAGUGGCGAACGGGUGAGUAACACGUGAGUAACCUGCCCUUGACUUUGGGAUAACUUUAGGAAACUGGGGCUAAUACCGGAUAGGAGCUCCUGCUGCAUGGUGGGGGUUGGAAAGUUUCGGCGGUUGGGGAUGGACUCGCGGCUUAUCAGCUUGUUGGUGGGGUAGUGGCUUACCAAGGCUUUGACGGGUAGCCGGCCUGAGAGGGUGACCGGCCACAUUGGGACUGAGAUACGGCCCAGACUCCUACGGGAGGCAGCAGUGGGGAAUAUUGCACAAUGGGCGGAAGCCUGAUGCAGCGACGCCGCGUGCGGGAUGACGGCCUUCGGGUUGUAAACCGCUUUCGCCUGUGACGAAGCGUGAGUGACGGUAAUGGGUAAAGAAGCACCGGCUAACUACGUG